GACGAACGCUGGCGGCGUGCCUAAUACAUGCAAGUCGAACGGUCUUUUCUAUGGAAGCUUGCUUCCACUGAGAAGAUAGUGGCGAACGGGUGAGUAACACGUGGGUAACCUGCCCAUAAGAGGGGGAUAACAUCCGGAAACGGGUGCUAAUACCGCAUAGUUUUCUUGAUCGCAUGAUCGGGAAAGGAAGACGGCCUUUGUGCUGUCGCUUAUGGAUGGACCCGCGGCGUAUUAGUUAGUUGGUGAGGUAAUGGCUCACCAAGACGAUGAUACGUAGCCGACCUGAGAGGUGAUCGGCCACAUUGGGACUGAGACACGGCCCAAACUCCUACGGGAGGCAGCAGUAGGGAAUCUUCCGCAAUGGACGAAAGUCUGACGGAGCAACGCCGCGUGAGUGAAGAAGGUUUUCGGAUCGUAAAACUCUGUUGUCAGAGAAGAACAAGUUAGGAGAGUAACUGCUCCAGCCUUGACGGUAUCUGACCAGAAAGCCACGGCUAACUACGUGCCG
rnacentral:rRNA from 1 species